rnacentral:rRNA from 1 species
GACGAACGCUGGCGGCGUGCCUAACACAUGCAAGUCGAACGGGGUAGCAAUACCCGAGUGGCGGACGGGUGCGUAACACGUGAGGAACAUGUCUUUCGGCGGGAGUAGCCGGCCUAACGGCCGGGUAAUACCGCGUACGACGAUUGGGGCGCAUGCCUUGAUCGUGAAAGCAGCAAUGCACCGAUAGAGUGCCUCGCGGCCUAUCAGCUAGUUGGUGAGGUAAUGGCNCACCAAGGCGACGACGGGUAGCUGGUCUGAGAGGAUGAUCAGCCACAUUGGGACUGAGACACGGCCCAGACUCCUACGGGAGGCAGCAGUGGGGAAUAUUGCGCAAUGGCCGCAAGGCUGACGCAGCGACGCCGCGUGUGGGAUGACGGUCUUCGGA